rnacentral:rRNA from 1 species
CGCAUCUGUGCAUGCAGCAUAUCAAUAAGCGGAGGAAAAGAAACUAACAAGGAUUCCCCUAGUAACGGCGAGUGAAGCGGGAAGAGCUCAAAUUUGAAAUCUUAAAGGGUUUCCCUUUACGAAUUGUAGUUUAAAGAAGUGUUUUCUGUUGAGGUUUUGGUAAAAGUUCUUUGGAAUAGGACAUCAUAGAGGGUGAGAAUCCCGUAUUUGACCUUUACUUUCAACUUUGUGAUACACUUUCAAAGAGUCGGAUUGUUUGGGAAUGCAGUCCAAAAUGGGUGGUAAAUUUCAUCUAAAGCUAAAUAUUGGCGAGAGACCGAUAGCGAACAAGUACCGUGAGGGAAAGAUGAAAAGAACUUUGAAAAGAGAGUUAAACAGUACGUGAAAUUGUCAAAAGGGAAGCGUUUGACACCAGUGUUGUUUUUCUGAAAAUCAAUUAAAGAACUGUUUAUGCUAAGUUGUUUAGACUUUAUCAGCUAUCUGUUUAGUUUUGAGCUUUUCUUUAAUGCACUUUUCAGUUAACAAGUCAACAUCAAUUUCUUUUGCUGUAAAAAAGCUUGAGGAAGGUGGCUUGAGAUUCGUCUUAAGUGUUUAUAGCCUCUUGCCUAUGCAGUCGGAGAGAUUGAGGUCUGCAGCGUAGAUCCUUCGGGGCUAAAUGCAUUUGUGCUAAGUUAUAGCAUUUUAUAGACAACUUGUUGACUAUGAUUUGUCUUGUAGCUUACUCGCUUAUGUUAUUUUACCUACGCUUAGGAUGUUGACUGAUAUGUAGUCGUA